AUUGAACGCUGGCGGCAUGCUUUACACAUGCAAGUCGAACGGCAGCGCGGGCUUCGGCCUGGCGGCGAGUGGCGAACGGGUGAGUAAUACAUCGGAACGUGCCCAGUAGUGGGGGAUAGCUCGGCGAAAGCCGGACUAAUACCGCAUACGACCUGAGGGUGAAAGCGGGGGAUCUUCGGACCUCGCGCGAUUGGAGCGGCCGAUGGCAGAUUAGCUAGUUGGUGGGGUAAAGGCCUACCAAGGCGACGAUCUGUAGCUGGUCUGAGAGGACGACCAGCCACACUGGAACUGAGACACGGCCCAGACUCCUACGGGAGGCAGCAGUGGGGAAUUUUGGACAAUGGGCGAAAGCCUGAUCCAGCAAUGCCGCGUGUGUGAUGAAGGCCUUCGGGUUGUAAAGCACUUUUGGCGGGAACGAAAAGGACUGUGCCAAUACCACGGUUCGAUGACGGUACCCGCAGAAUAAGCACCGGCUAACUACGUG
rnacentral:rRNA from 1 species